UUAAACUCAUUAAAAGAACUAAAUAAUUUUCCACACUCCAUUAUUAAUUUAAAAACAAGCACUAAAUAAAUAAAAAAUAAGAAAUCUCUUUACUAAUCAAUAUUAAAAUGUAACACAACACGAUUAGACAAAUUCUAAACUCACUCUGACACUCGCGAUAUUCUCAAGUUAGCGUGUAUGUAAAAAACCAGUAAAUAACAAUGCACGCUAAUAGUGACGUCACUGACUUGAUGAAGUUUCGCGUGUACCUAACUUUUUAAUUUGCGUACACGUUAGCGUGUACCUAGACACAGCGAUACUAUUCUCAAUAUGGCUACUGGGUGUAAAAGAUAAAUCUUAUUCUAUCUGUUCUUCAUGAGUUUUAGAUAAUUUUAGUUGUAUUUCUUUGUAAUUUUGUGUUGUACAAAGAUUAAUUUAACAUUUUCUCUGGAAGUAUUAAUUUAGAAAGAUAAUAUGCUUCCUUGGUGUUGUGUUUUGAAGUGUGAAAUGCAAAGUAAUUGUGAUAAAGUCAAGAUAAAGUUCACUUUUAAACUGAACUAAAUAAGGUAUCUGAGAGACAACAAUGGUUAAAUGCAAUACAAUAUACAGGUUUUACUAGCGAAAUGAAAAUUUUCCUGUCCUGUCUGCUGUAAUCAUUUUAUAUCUGGUAAGUUACAAUUUCAACAGUAACGAUUUUUGAAGAUGUUAACAUUUUAAUCUUAUAGGAAAACCAGUCGACUUAAUCGAUAAUAACAAUCUCCAGAUUGGGUUCCUUCAAUAAAUAUGGGCUAUAAACACAAUGAAAUAAGUUCCCCAAAAUCUAAAAUGGAGUGGUAUCAAAGGAGAAUGAAAGGAAAAAAUAUUCAUAUUGAAAUUAUUUAUAAGGCACUGGACUGUCUUAAAUUCUACAAUAAUACUAGAAUCAGCUGAGAGAAGUGGUCUACAAAAAACCAGGAAGGAAACGGAAUAUGUGGCUACGAAAGGCAAAAGAAAGGUUUACAAAGCAAAUGUGACACAUUUUUUUGAAAUGUUUAGGAAUAUCAGUAAAUUGCAUUAAAAAAAUGUAUGAAAAGAUUUUGUUCAAUAAAAAUGUUUAUAUUUA